rnacentral:misc_RNA from 1 species
GCAUGUGGCGAUGUAUCAUUCUACAUCACAAUUACCUUCAAUCACGUCUUUACUUUGCGACUUGACAUACAAACUUGCUAACCCUUGUCGACAGAAUCAACCAAGGUAUAAUUCCGACCUUCACAUAAUCAUUUGCGGUACCUCCAGCCCUCCAAGACAAAAAUUUUCCAAAUGGCUGCACAAGGUGAUGAGGUACAGUAGCAACA